GAGAUUUCCACCUACUGAAAUGUUUCCAUACUUAAUUUCUACUCAGAGAACCUGAAGUCACUUCUAACAGUAUCUCUCAAGACCGAUACAGUUGAGCUCCAUCUGCCCUUCUAACAUCGGCGGCCUGGCAACAGUGUCUUGCUAAGCUGGGAAACAUGGUAUGGUGAGAAGGUCUCUAACUUCGGUCAAGACUCAGUUCUGCCACUCUCCACAAUGACUCUGGGCAAGGUGCUUCAGAGCACUAUCCCAGCAUGGCCUUGUCCUGGACUGCAUGGGGUUCAUUCUUCAUCCUCAAUGGUCAGGAGCCACUUCCAACAGGUGCCCAGGGAGGACAAAGGAUCCAGGCUUCACUUUUCCUGAUGGAGCAAAAGGAGUAUCAGGAGAUAAAUGGUGAUGCCAGACUGGAUCUCAGACAACACUGGAAGCAUCUCCAGGCUUUCCUAACACCAGAUUAAUCCAUAUGAAUGGAAAGGACAAUUCAUUUGUCCUUCCCUGUGACCCUCAUUCUGUCCCAGAUGGACCACGCUAAAGAGGAUGUAGAGUAUGAAGUCUGUCUGAAUAUGUGAAAGGACUGACACCAGGGUUGUUGUGAAGCUGUGGGGCCUUUGUUGAGCCAGAGAUACGGCUUGAAGGGAGAAAAUGAAACAUAGGUUGUGGCUCAGUUCUCAGCUAAGUACCCAGUACCCAGUUGAGUAGAGUAAGUGAGCUGCCUAUGCAAGUCAGCCAGAGGAAGACACAGAUGUCAGGGAAG
rnacentral:lncRNA from 1 species